rnacentral:rRNA from 1 species
AUUGAACGCUGGCGGCAGGCUUAACACAUGCAAGUCGAACGAGCGGAGGACGGGUGAGUAAUGUCGGGAAAACUGCCUGAUGGAGGGGGAUAACUACUGGAAACGGUAGCUAAACCCGCAUACGAUCAGAUGUGCCCAGCUGGGAGUAGCUAGUAGUUGGGGUAAUGGCUCACCUAGGCGACGAUGCAUAGCUGGUCUGAGAGGAUGACCGGCCAAACUGGAACUGAGAAACGGUCCAGACUCCUACGGGAGGCAGCAGUGGGGAAUAUUGCACAAUGGGCGCAAGCCUGAUGCAGCAAUGCCGCGUGUGUGAAGAAGGCCUUCGGGUUGUAAAGCACUGUCAGCGAGGAGGCGUUACUCGCCGAAGAAGCACCGGCUAACUACGUGCCAGCAGCCGCGGUAAUUC